GGCCGAGGCGACGGGGCGGGCAGCUGAUGGCGGCCGGGCUGGGGCCGUGGCUGCUGGCCUUGGCCUUGGCCGCGGGGCCGGCAGGUGCACUUCCAGGUGAUGAGAUCCAAGCGACGAGCUCUGCAGUGAGAUGGCAAGCGGGGAAUAGUGGGACCUUGCGCUGCACCUACAGCUCCAAUGCCUCCUAUGUUUAUGUGGCCUGGUACCGGCAGCACCCCGGAGGCCCACUGCAGUACUUGCUCCAGAGCAAGGGCCGGGGGGGCUCCUACAGCCACACAGCCCCUUUGGCCCAGGAGAGGUUUUCCUGCCAGGCUGAUGAGAGCUCUGGAACGCUGAUCAUCACUGGGCUGGAGCCUGGGGACAGUGCACUCUAUUACUGCACCCUGCAGGGACCACGGUGAGAGACAUGUGGGGCGUACCUGAGCAAUAUCAGCUUCCUUCCCUCCUGCACCUUCAUGGGAGUCACAGCCUAUGUCAGGGGAGAGACAGUAUGUGGAUAGUGUCUGGGGUAAAGAGAGAGGGUGGAUCUCAUUGUGGCUGGGUGCUGUCACUGGUCCAGACAACACAAUGGAAUAAGACUAUUUCAGUUGGAAGGGACCUACACUGCUCAUCUAGUCCCUCUACCUGACCAGUUCAGCAUUCACCAAGUUAAAGCAUGUUAUUA